rnacentral:lncRNA from 1 species
GCGACGUACAAAUUGAAAUGUGAGCACGAGACGGGGGCAGGAAUUCCCUGAAAAAAGGUGCUGUUUCGAGAAGCCUACCAACCAGCCAGUCAUCUUGUCAACCAAUCAGCCUACCAACCAGCCAGUCAUCUUGUGCACCGAUCACCCUUCCAGCCAGCCAGUUAUGAUGUGAACCAAACAGCCUACCAACCAGCCACUCAUCUUGUGCAAGAAUCAGCCUACCAACCAGCCAGUCAUCUUGUGGACCAGUCAUGCUAGAGAUCCAGCAAGUAGCCAGGGCAUCAUUGCUACUGUUGACCAUGGUCCUAGAAACAUGGGCCAGUAAUCCUCACCUUGCCAGAUGCACCUCGUUUUGGUACAUUUAGCUAGAACAUUCUCGCACUGGUUACUGUGACGGACAGGAGAAUCCUCUGUUGCCAUGGAGAUGGCUCUGCUUCUCAAGGAUUUCAGGAAGCUACAAAUGCUACAGUUGUUUCCAACACAAGGCUCAAGUUUCAUCGACAAUUGAAAGUCACAAGACAAGGUACAAAUUUCAGCUGGUCCGUGACCGUCGAUCCAUGCCUGCAAUGCCGAGGUCCUACGACAUAUUAAACACGAGAUGUCCCGAGCU